rnacentral:rRNA from 1 species
AUUGAACGCUGGCGGCACGCCUAACACAUGCAAAUCGAGCGGCAGCGAGAGUAGUAGCAAUACUACUUGUCGGCGAGCGGCGGACGGGUGAGGAACACGUAGGAACCUGCCCUGAAGUGGGGGAUAACUAAGGGAAACUUUAGCUAAUACCGCAUAAUCUCGAGAGAGAAAAGCUGCCCGCAAGGGUGGCGCUUUAGGAGGGGCCUGCGUCCGAUUAGCUAGUUGGUGGGGUAAGAGCUCACCAAGGCGAUGAUCGGUAACUGGUCUGAGAGGACGACCAGUCACACUGGGACUGAGACACGGCCCAGACUCCUACGGGAGGCAGCAGUGGGGAAUUUUGGACAAUGGGCGCAAGCCUGAUCCAGCAAUGCCGCGUGCAGGAAGAAGGCCUUCGGGUUGUAAACUGCUUUUGUACGGAACGAAAAGGCUCUGGUUAAUACCUGGGGCUCAUGACGGUACCGUAAGAAUAAGCACCGGCUAACUACGUGCCAGCCGCCGCGGUAAAAC